UUAAUGUCAUGACACUUGGACUCGCUCUCAGUAAACUACUUGUACCUGUCGGAGUGCUGCCUGUAGACCUGCUCUCUGUUCCUCCUGUUGGAUUUUGUGUAAUAAAGCUCAACUUCACUCACCUCCAGUCUGACUCCUACUCCUUCCGUGACAAGUACAACUAGCAGGAGAAAAGUAAUAAUUAAGAUGGACUUUGUCCUAUGGAGUGGGGAUGGCACAAGUGUGGCGAGGGAUUUGUGCCAAUUAAGACAACCCUACCUCCUGCUCCCGAGAAGCUAAUGAAGGUCAUAAGGUGUAGCUGCCAGUCUGACUGCAGCACCCUGAGAUGCAGUUGUUAAAAAAAACAAAAAAAAAAAACACAAUAUAGAAUGCACCCGGCCAGUGGACACUGCAGGGGGGCGAGCUGCACAAACUCAAUGCAGAUGGCCUGUGAUGAGAAUGAAGAUGAGAUUUUCUAUUAGUGCAUUGUACUCAUCCUCCAGAAACAGUCCCACAGACCCAGCCCCAAAUCCCAUCUCUGCAAUAAUUAAUGAAGGCUGGUUUAAAGUACUUCUUCCUGCCUCUAUGUUUUAAUGCUCAUGGGUAGCCUAAAUAGGUUCCAUUCAGACCUUAACAUUAAGUCUUUUACGGUUAUGUCAAGAUUCAACAAGACCUUUUCACCUGGCUAUACCCAAUGUUUAGAUCUGUUGUGGUAUUUAUGGAAUUAGCACAUACAUAAUUAGAUUAUGCACCAUUUGCCUAUGUUAACAAUUUCAAAAUACUUGUAAUACAUUUUGUUUGUCUUGA